AGUCUUAUAGUUUAUUUAAAAAUUUUAAAUUGCAAGUUUAAGGAAAAGUAUUUUAAGACUU
rnacentral:tRNA from 1 species